rnacentral:rRNA from 1 species
UUCCGGUUGAUCCUGCCGGACCUGACUGCUAUCGGAUUGAUACUAAGCCAUGCGAGUCUUUGUAGUAAUACAAGGCAUACGGCUCAGUAACGCGUAGUCAACCUACCCUAUGGACAAGAAUAAUCUCGGGAAACUGAGCAUAAUUCUUGAUAGAUCAUAAUGCCUGGAAUGGUUUAUGGUUAAAAUGAUUCGUCGCCAUAGGAUGGGACUGCGGCCUAUCAGCUUGUUGGUGAGGUAAUGGCCCACCAAGGCGAUUACAGGUACGGGCUCUGAGAGGAGAAGCCCGGAGAUGGGUACUGAGACAAGGACCCAGGCCCUAUGGGGCGCAGCAGGCGAGAAAACUUUGCAAUGUGCGAAAGCACGACAAGGUUAGUCCGAGUGAUUUCUGCUAAAGAGAUCUUUUGCUAGUCAUAAAACCACUAGUGAAUAAGGGGUGGGCAAGUUCUGGUGUCAGCCGCCGCGGUAAAACCAGCACCUCAAGUGGUCAGGAUGAUUAUUGGGCCUAAAGCAUCCGUAGCCGGCUCUGUAAGUUUUCGGUUAAAUCUAUGCGCUCAACGUAUGGGCUGCCGAAAAUACUGCAGAGAUAGGGAGUGGGAGAGGUAGACGGUACUCGGUAGGAAGGGGUAAAAUCCUUUGAUCUAUCGAUGACCACCUGUGGCGAAGGCGGUCUACCAGAACACGUUCGACGGUGAGGGAUGAAAGCUGGGGGAGCAAACCGGAUUAGAUACCCGGGUAGUCCCAGCUGUAAACGAUGCAGACUCGAUGAUGCAUUGGCAUAUAGCCAGUGCAGUGUCGCAGGGAAGCCGUUAAGUCUGCCGCCUGGGAAGUACGUACGCAAGUAUGAAACUUAAAGGAAUUGGCGGGGGAGCACCACAAGGGGUGAAGCCUGCGGUUCAAUUGGAUUCAACGCCGG